UUCUGGCAAACAGAGGCUAAAGACACCGUCCCUGCCAUCCUGGCUAAUAGCCAUUGAUGGACCUAUGCUCCAUGAAUUUAUCUAGUUCUUUUUCUAACCCGGUUAUAGUCUUGGCUUUCACAACAACCUCUGGCGAAGAGUUCCAUAGACUGACUGUGUGUUGUGUGGAAUAAAU